rnacentral:rRNA from 1 species
AGUCAAUGCUUGCUGUUCGUCGAAAGAUGUAACGGCAAGCGUUGGUUCACCUCCGCAAAGCUGCAUGUGCUCUUAACUGAGUGGAUGUAGAGUUGCGGGCUUUUACUGUGAGAAAAUUAGAGUGUUCAAAGCAGGCUUAUGCCAGAAUACUUCAGCAUGGAAUAAUGAAAUAGGAUCACGAUCUUAUUUUGUUGGUUUCUAAGAUCGAGAUA